rnacentral:rRNA from 1 species
GACGGAGGGUGCAAGCGUUGUUCGGAAUUACUGGGCGUAAAGCGCGUGUAGGCGGCAGCGCAAGUCGGGCGUGAAAUCCCACGGCUCAACCGUGGAAGUGCACUCGAAACUGCGCAGCUAGAGUCCUGGAGAGGAAGGUGGAAUGCUUGGUGUAGAGGUGAAAUUCGUAGAUAUCAAGCGGAACACCGGUGGCGAAGGCGACCUUCUGGACAGUGACUGACGCUGAGACGCGAAAGCGUGGGGAGCAAACAGG